UACGAAGGGAGCUAGCGUUGUUCGGAUUUACUGGGCGUAAAGGGCGCGUAGGCGGUUUGGCAAGUUGGAUGUGAAAGCCCUGGGCUCAACCCGGGAAUUGCAUUCAAAACUGCCUUACUUGAAUUCGGUAGAGGUUGGUAGAAUUCCCAGUGUAGAGGUGAAAUUCGUAGAGAUUGGGAAGAAUACCCGUGGCGAAGGCGGCCAACUGGACCGACAUUGACGCUGAGGCGCGAAAGCGUGGGUAGCAAACAGG
rnacentral:rRNA from 2 species